rnacentral:lncRNA from 1 species
UUUCCGCUUCUGAGCUCCCCAAUGGCAGCCACAGGCCAUGUGAGACCCUUAGACAUAAUCCUGAGCGCAAGUGGCACAUCAAUAAUAAUCUCCUUCUCGGUGGGCUUCUUCGAAGUUCUCACAUCGAUAAGGUAAGCCCUUCCCACCCAUCCAAUCCAGCCAGCAAUGUAGAGGAAAACUAGUCCGGGGUACACGAACUCGCCCAAAUGCGCCUGGUCGCCGUCCACGAUCAAAUGCGGCAGACCAUCAGUACCGCACAACAACCCCUGGUUUCCGUAAAACUCAAACCUCCUCUUGGUCUUCUCAAUAGUCGCAUUGAUAGCCAACGCAGGUGCGCUGUCAGGCGCGUAGAGCUUCAACCUGCCCUCCAAUUUCUUAAUCUCCUGCUUCUGUCGCUUGGCAAACCCCUUGCUCUCCUUGCAAGGCGUCAAACCAGCAACAUCAGCUCUCGCAUCGGGCACCACAAAGUCACUGGAACCCACAACAGCAGCCAAUGCCAACGCAGUGGCGAACUUCCCUGCGGUCUCGGCAACAGUGGAGGUCUCGUCGGCGGAUGUAGAGCAGACAAUCCUAGCCUUGGAGCUCUUCACGAACACUGAAGCGCGAGCGCCGGAGAUUGCUGUCCGGGAGCUGACGUCCUUGCAGAGGGGCGCA